GUACCUAGGAGAGUUGUAACAAAAGAAUAUUCCUGAGUAAACCCUCGAGAGAAGUCCAGGUGUUCGGUCGUUGCUGCUGGUAGGCAGCAGAAGCGCGGAGUACAAGUGGUGGCCUGGGACGGCGACUUCGUGUCAAAGUGACCCCUAGGAGACUCCAGAACUCUCGACAGAACAGGGUGAUCGAUCGGAAAGUGCUCGGUAUGAGUUGCACAGUGACCAGGACCAGCAGGAAUGUCAGCAGUUUUCUGCAAUGUCUGCCAUCUCAAUGAAGUGAAGAGCAAUGAAGACGACGUGAGACCGAUGAAGUGCUGUAAAGGGCCCCAUCACUGUCAGAUGAGUAGCAUUUAUACUCCCUCCAGGUGUCUUACUGGAUUCCUGACCUGUGUUCUCACAGGAGUGGACAGUGAAGGCAAGCUUUCCCAGAAUGAAUCCCCACUGUACUUCACUGUAUCUGGAGACACACAGCUCAGCCAUUGUCCACUGCUUGACGAGUCGAGUCCUACAGAAGUUCCCCUUCCCAUGGCAUACUCACUGUGCCAGGAUAGUUCUGGUCACACAGAUUCUGCACUAUCUCUUUUGAAUUCCUGGAGAACAAAGAUACCAUCCCACCCACACAUUGUAAAGCCUAACAAGGGAUGCAGAUUUCUAUAAACAUCUUUGCCUGAAUAGUAUCAGUGAAUCUGUCCUGUCCUGUUGGGGUCCCUCAGCUGCAAGACAUCGGAGUUUGCCACUGCAGACUCAACUCAUGCCUGCUGUGCGCCUGCUGGCUGGCACAUAUACAG